CAAUUGGCUUGUUGAGACAGGGGGUGUGUUAGCAUGUUCAUGGGCAUAGUAGAAAAAUGCAUAGGCCCAUGGAGUUUUUGGCCCAAAGUAAUAAUGAAGGGACUAAGGAAAUGCAUCAGAAUUCAAAACCAAAUAAAAAAGCACGUGCGCAACCAAAUAUAACAUUCAAAUGUCCAUAUAUUCUCACCACCGUCCUCCACCGCACCAGAAGGUCGCCUCCGGCAGUGGUGGCAGGCCAACACAGAAAUUGAAAACGCCAACGGGAUCGUAUCUCCAUGCUCAAUCUGAAUUCGAGGCUAAUUUCAUCUGAACCUCAACCUAAAGCUCAAACCGAAGGUGAACUCUCAAUAACCCUAUAAGCUUCCAAGUAAAAUUAAAUGGUCCACUCGAGGAAUCAAAUCCCAAGAGGUUGGGGCUUUGAUUCCUCCCUCCUCAACCUACAUCAUGGUAUCAAGAACGAAAUGAAAUACGAAGGAUUUAAGAUGUUACCUUGCCGGAAAAGACGAACUGAAAAUGGAGCUCAAGAUGAUGGGGUUUGACAUGGCUUGAAAAAGGUGCCUUAUGCUUGAAGGAACUAGUGAAUGCUACAAACCAAAGAACAUGGAAUUUGAUGGAUUAUGGAAGAAUGGAACAAGAUAUUAGGGUUUGGGAUGUAAAAUGGUGGUCAGUUGACUUUGGUCAACUGGUUGACCAAAAAGUCAACCGUUGACCAAAAGUCAACUUAGGUAGAAAAAUCAAAUUUUUGUGUAAUGGCUUAUGUAUGGACACUAUGAUGUAAUUGGAAUGAAUGCAAUGAUAUUUUGUUUUAUGAAA